rnacentral:tRNA from 1 species
CGGGGCGUAGCGCAGUUUGGUAGCGCGCUGCGUUCGGGACGCAGAGGCCGCAGGUUCAAAUCCUGUCGCCCCGA